GGAGGAGUCGCAUAGUGGCCUAGUGCGGCACGGUGCUAACGUGCUAACCCUGAAAGGGGUUCGUGGGUUCGAAUCCCACCUCCUCCGCCA
rnacentral:tRNA from 1 species